GCGGAUUAAGCGCUAAUGGUGCGAGGUUGCGGCGGGCUUUGGCAGAGUGCGGGUGGGCGGCUCGGCGCGUGCAUAAAAGUUGCUCCUGGGACGUCGCUUCUUCAGAGGAACCUGCAGCUCCCCCCAUCACAACUUCCCAGGACCCAGCCCAGAAAACAACCAUACAGAAACUUGGCUUAAAUAUUAUUAUCAUUGUAUAUUGCCUGUGAAUGAAUAGGCUGUGCAUCAGGCGUAUGGGAAGUGUUUAUUUCCGUGACUAAUAUUAUUCCCACGGAUAAAUUGGACCGGAGUAAAGGAGACCCGUGUAUAGGCUGUAUACACUGUAGUAUAGGCUGUAGGAGACCCGUAUAUAGGUUGUAUACACUGUAUAAUAGGCUGUAGUAGACCCGAGGGACAGCAGCAGUCAAGCCGAGCUCCACGAUAGACCCGACCGUAGACCGGACCAUAGACCUGACCAUGUGGCAGACUGCGCUCACCGUGCUCGUGACCUACUCACUCGGGAUGGCUGUGUGUCUGAACUCCAACGGCAUCCGCACCUCCAAAGAGAUCCUGGAAAGCUUGGAGCAGACAGACCCCCUCCCCAGCAGCAACACAUCAGACACAUCAGGAACCACCCUCACCCUGGCUCAGAACCCACAGAGGACCUGCUCCACGCCCGGGUGCAGUCCCCCAGAGGAAGGCUGCAGUAACCGGUCUCGGAGGAGAGGCACAUCCACACAGGACAGAGAGGCAGAGAGACAGGCCAACAGACAGG
ensembl:lncRNA